rnacentral:rRNA from 1 species
CAAUAGCGUAUAUUAAAGUUGUUGCAGUUAAAAAGCUCGUAGUUGGAUUUGUGGCGUACGGUGUGUUCCGGGCACUUGUUGCCUGAGUAACCUGCUGUUGCCAUCCUUGGGUGGAACCUGUGUGGCAUUAGGUUGUCGUGCAGGGGAUGCCCAUCAUUUACUGUGAAAAAAUUAGAGUGUUCAAAGCAGGCUUACGCCGUUGAAUAUAUUAGCAUGGAAUAAUGAGAUAGGACUUUUUUGCUAUUUUGUUGGUUUGCGCAAAGAGGUAAUGAUUAAUAGGGACAGUUGGGGGUAUUCGUAUUCCAUUGUCAGAGGUGAAAUUCUUGGAUUUUUGGAAGACGAACUACUGCGAAAGCAUUUACCAAGGAUGUUUUCAUUAA